rnacentral:SRP_RNA from 1 species
GGCGGGCCUCCCCGCAUUGCAUAGUAGUGAACUUGGUCAGGUCCGGAAGGAAGCAGCCACAACUAUUCUCUGUAAGUGCCGGGGGUUGGGCUCGCCACC